rnacentral:rRNA from 1 species
GAAAGUACAACUCUAUGCGGUGG